rnacentral:lncRNA from 1 species
AAGAAGGGUAAGAUACGUUAGGUACCAUACAUAUCAUAUUAUGACCUAAUGUGGUAUGUUAUGUGGUUAUGUAUUGUAGAGACUCUAAAGACUUAACGGGAAAGUAUAGUAACCAUAGCAGACGCUAAAGGCAAGUGUUCUAACCCUUGUCUAAGUUCAAUCUAGACAAGUUUUGUGAUUCAUGUAUUCUUACGCAUGAAUUGAUGUAUGAUGAAGUCAAAGCCAAUUCUUUC